rnacentral:rRNA from 1 species
AUGCUGUGCCCGACGCCACUGCCCGAGGAGGCGAGAACCCCCCAGCUCACGGCGUUCUUGGCCGAGGAGCAGUACGUGGUUCCGGCCAAGGAGCUGAAGCGGCCAAAGGGGAAGGCCAGCAGGCGCCUCCGAGGCACUUCGAAGGCCUGGUCCGAGGACACCCAUGUCUCCUCCACCCACGAGGAGGAGACGAAAGACGAAGAAGAGGAGGCGGUCUCUCCGAAGAGGAAGAGAGCGGCGUCGGAGGACCUCGUGGAGGAGGCACACCACCAAUCCCACAGGAAACUGUUCAAGGCCUCGGGCGUGCCGGUCGGUCAACGACUCGAGCCCGCUCAGGUGACCCUCUCUGACACCUCGGAGGACCCCCUUGCCCAGCUGCGCAGAGCGAGGCCAGCACUGUUUACAGGUAUUGUGUAA